rnacentral:snoRNA from 1 species
AUCCUAUAAUGAGGACACUUAUGAAGUAAUUCUUUGAAUCUUUCCCACGCCUCAUACAAGGACUAAUAAUCCAAUUGUGAAAAAGUGGUUAUCUCAUUUCACAACUU